rnacentral:rRNA from 1 species
ACGAACCGUGCAAACGUUAUUCGGAAUCACUGGGCUUAAAGCGUGCGUAGGCGGCUUAGCAGGUGGGGUGUGAAAUCCCUCAGCUCAACUGAGGAACUGCGCUCCAAACCGUUAGGCUUGAGGGAGAUAGAGGUGAGCGGAACUGAUGGUGGAGCGGUGAAAUGCGUUGAUAUCAUCAGGAACACCAGAGGCGAAGGCGGCUCACUGGGUCUCUUCUGACGCUGAGGCACGAAAGCUAGGGUAGCGAACGGG